rnacentral:rRNA from 1 species
CGAAGGAUGCAAGCGUUAUCCGGAUUCAUUGGGUUUAAAGGGAGCGUAGGUGGCCUUGUAAGUCAGUGGUGAAAUCCUGUCGCUUAACGACAGAAUUGCCAUUGAUACUGCAGGGCUUGAGUACAGAUGCCGUUGGCGGAAUAUGACAUGUAGUGGUGAAAUACUUAGAUAUGUCAUAGAACACCGAUUGCGAAGGCAGCUGACGAGACUGUAACUGACACUGAGGCUCGAAAGUGUGGGGAUCAAACAGGAUUAGAUACCCUGGUAGUCCACACUGUAAACGAUGAUUACUCGCUGCUGGAGGGCAACCUUCAGUGGCUAAGCAAAAGCGAUAAGUAAUCCACCUGGGGAGUACGCCGGCAACGGUG